rnacentral:snRNA from 1 species
GCUGGAACGCACGACCACCAGC